rnacentral:rRNA from 1 species
UACGAAGGGGGCUAGCGUUGCUCGGAAUCACUGGGCGUAAAGGGUGCGUAGGCGGGUUUUUAAGUCAGAGGUGAAAUCCUGGAGCUCAACUCCAGAACUGCCUUUGAUACUGAAAGUCUUGAGUAUGGGAGAGGUGAGUGGAACUGCGAGUGUAGAGGUGAAAUUCGUAGAUAUUCGCAAGAACACCAGUGGCGAAGGCGACUCACUGGCCCGAUACUGACGCUGAGGCACGAAAGCGUGGGGAGCAAACAGG